rnacentral:rRNA from 1 species
CCUACGGGAGGCAGCAGUGGGGAAUAUUGGGCAAUGGGCGCAAGCCUGACCCAGCAACGCCGCGUGAAGGAAGAAGGCUUUCGGGUUGUAAACUUCUUUUGUCAGGGAAGAGUAGAAGACGGUACCUGACGAAUAAGCCACGGCUAACUACGUGCCAGCAGCCGCGGUAAUACGUAGGUGGCAAGCGUUGUCCGGAUUUACGGGGUGUAAAGGGCGUGUAGCCGGGUUGACAAGUCAGAUGUGAAAUCCUGCGGCUUAACCGCAGAACUGCAUUUGAAACUGUUGCUCUUGAGUACUGGAGAGGCAGACGGAAUUCCUAGUGUAGCGGUGAAAUGCGUAGAUAUUAGGAGGAACACCAGUGGCGAAGGCGGUCUGCUGGACAGCAACUGACGGUGAGGCGCGAAAGCGUGGGGAGCAAACAGGAUUAGAUACCCCAGUAGUC